CAAAACUUUCAACAACGGAUCUCUUGGCUCUGGCAUCGAUGAAGAACGCAGCGAAAUGCGAUACGUAAUGCGAAUUGCAGAAUCCAGCGAGUCAUCGAAUCUUUGAACGCACAUUGCGCCCGCCAGCAUUCUGGCGGGCAUGCCUGUCCGAGCGUCAUUUCCCCCCU
rnacentral:rRNA from 1 species